UACGGAGGGGGCAAGCGUUGUUCGGAAUUACUGGGCGUAAAGGGCGCGUAGGCGGUUUGCUAAGUUGGAUGUGAAAACUCUGGGCUUAACCCAGAGCCUGCAUCCAAAACUAGCGGGCUAGAGUUCUGGAGGGGAUAGCGGAAUUCCUGGUGUAGCGGUGAAAUGCGUAGAUAUCAGGAGGAACACCAGUGGCGAAGGCGACUUCCUGGCCUGUUCUUGACGCUGAGGCGCGAAAGCUAGGGUAGCAAACGGG
rnacentral:rRNA from 1 species